GACGAACGCUGGCGGCGUGCUUAACACAUGCAAGUCGAACGAUGAACCGGGUGCUUGCACUUGGGGAUUAGUGGCGAACGGGUGAGUAACACGUGAGUAACCUGCCCUGGACUCUGGGAUAACCCCGAGAAAUCGGAGCUAAUACCGGAUAGGACCUUUCCUCGCAUGAGGUUUGGUGGAAAGUUUUUCGGUCUGGGAUGGACUCGCGGCCUAUCAGCUUGUUGGUGAGGUAAUGGCUCACCAAGGCGUCGACGGGUAGCCGGCCUGAGAGGGUGACCGGCCACACUGGGACUGAGACACGGCCCAGACUCCUACGGGAGGCAGCAGUGGGGAAUAUUGCACAAUGGGCGCAAGCCUGAUGCAGCAACGCCGCGUGCGGGAUGACGGCCUUCGGGUUGUAAACCGCUUUUAGUAGGGAAGAAGGGCUUCGGCUUGACGGUACCUGCAGAAAAAGGACCGGCUAGCUACGUGCCAGCCGCCGCCGUAAGAC
rnacentral:rRNA from 1 species